AUGCAGAAACUGUUGAGAGAGGGCAUGAAUGGUAUAUUUAGUCGUGCUUUUAUUCCCUUUUGCUCUUUCCGAAGGGACUACUCUACUCUUGUGUUAGCCAUUAGUAUAUAUUUUUUCAGAACCAAAUCCAUUUAUUUAAUGAGGAGAGGUGCAUCAGACAAAUUAAAAUGUAUUGAGCUAUUGUUCAUGACAAUUGGGCAAGUUAUUUUACUGGGGCUAAUAAACACAUACCAAAAUUUGCAGACUACUUUGCUUUUCUGGUUAUUUUGCUAUGAGAUUGUUAAUGAUAAAUCAGAUGUUUUCAAUUCUUUCGUAUGCUUAACAAUAAUAUUUUACGUUGGCUAUUAA
rnacentral:rRNA from 1 species